rnacentral:ncRNA from 1 species
UUUCCCUCAGGAUAGCUGGCGCUCUCGCUCUUCCUGACACACGCAGUUUUAUCCGGUAAACCGAAUGAUUAGAGGUCUUGGGGCCAAAACGAUCUCAACCUAUGAUCAAACUUUAAAUGGGUAAGAAGCCCUGCUCGCUGGCGUGGAGCCGGGUGUGGAAUGCGAGUGCCUAGUGGGCCACUUUUGGUAAGCAGAACUGGUGCUGCGCGAAGAGCCG